rnacentral:rRNA from 1 species
UACGAAGGGGGCUAGCGUUGUUCGGAAUUACUGGGCGUAAAGCGCGCGCAGGCGGUCUUCCAAGUCAGUGGUGAAAGCCCGGGGCUCAACCCCGGAAUUGCCUUUAAGACUGCAUCGCUUGAAUCCGGGAGAGGUGAGUGGAAUUCCGAGUGUAGAGGUGAAAUUCGUAGAUAUUCGGAAGAACACCAGUGGCGAAGGCGGCUCACUGGACCGGUAUUGACGCUGAGGUGCGAAAGCGUGGGGAGCAAACAGG